rnacentral:rRNA from 1 species
GACGAACGCUGGCGGCGUGCUUAACACAUGCAAGUCGAACGGAAAGGCCCUGCUUUUGUGGGGUGCUCGAGUGGCGAACGGGUGAGUAACACGUGAGUAACCUGCCCUUGACUUUGGGAUAACUUCAGGAAACUGGGGCUAAUACCGGAUAGGAGCUCCUGCUGCAUGGUGGGGGUUGGAAAGUUUCGGCGGUUGGGGAUGGACUCGCGGCUUAUCAGCUUGUUGGUGGGGUAGUGGCUUACCAAGGCUUUGACGGGUAGCCGGCCUGAGAGGGUGACCGGCCACAUUGGGACUGAAAUACGGCCCAGACUCCUACGGGAGGCAGCAGUGGGGAAUAUUGCACAAUGGGCGGAAGCCGGAUGCAGCAACGCCGCGUGCGGGAUGACGGCCUUCGGGUUGUAAACCUCUUUCGCCUGUGACGAAGCGUGAGUGACGGUAAUGGGUAAAGAAGCACCGGCUAACUACGUG